AGAACCCUGAAAGAUGAUCAGGUUGAUAGGUCAGAGGUGGAAGCGUGGUGACACGUGGAGCUGACUGAUACUAAUCGUUCGAGGACUUAACCAA
rnacentral:rRNA from 1 species